GCCAUGGUAGCCUAGUGGUCAAGGUAAUGAACUUGUGGCCGGCGUGUCAUGAGUUCCAGCUUAAUGCCGCUGAAGACCAGCAGUGUAGAGGGAAUGAUGAGCGUUAAAUCUGGCGAGGCUCAAACGUCCUCCCAUUGGCG